AUACUUAUAUUGGGUUAUGUGUAUACUUGUGCUUAUUUCUUGUAUUUAUGUAUGGUGUAUGAGUAUAUUCUAGACUGUUAGUGGAUAUGGUGUGAGCUACCAUUUGCAACAUUUUCUAAUUGCAAGUGACAUUAUCAUAGUUGUUUUUUAUAUGCUUUAUUUUAUACUUUGCUCAGUAAGCCUAUGAUACAUACUAAGUACAUGUGGACUGUACUCACCCUAUUACACCCUAUCGGUGA
rnacentral:lncRNA from 1 species